UAUAUUUAGGUGUAUGAAGCACGAAAGUUUUUGAUACUUUAAGAAGUAGUUUAAAUCUACUGAAUAUAA
rnacentral:tRNA from 2 species